rnacentral:lncRNA from 1 species
UGAAAGAAUUGAGUAUAUGCAAAUGGGAUAAAUGUUGUAGGUGAACUUUUUGUGUAACAUAAAAUCUUAAAAUUGUUUUUGAUGUUCAUUGGAUGUCUGAGUUAUUUACUAUUAAGAAAGGGCUAUGAUAUAGGGAAAUAUGUUUCUAAAAAUUGUGGAAUGGUCUCAUCUAUAAAAUGCUAAUAUUUGACAGUUCAGGAUUUCUGGUUUCCAUUUUCACUAAAAUUUAAGGUGACUAAGAGUAAGAAUUGUAGUUAAUGUACAAUUCUGUACAUAAAAUGUGCCAAAGAGGAUGUGUCCUUCCUGAGAAAAAGAAUAAUUCUGUCUAAUUCAGAAGUUAUCUAAAGGUUAAUUCAAGUUAUAGACUCGAAAAGGUUAUGUAUGCAACAAGGUAGAAAGGAACAGUAAAUAGGGGAGAGAGAUGUGAAGAAAGUUAUAG